UCGGGAACACAUGCAAGUCGAACGAUGGAAGCCUUCGGGGUGGAUUAGUGGCGAACGGGUGAUUAACACUUGGGCAAUCUGCGCUUCACUCUGGGACAAGCCCUGGAAACGGGGUCUAAUACCGGAUAACACCGGCUUCCGCAUGGGAGCUGGUUGAAAUCUCCGGCGGUGAAGGAUGAUCCCGACGGCCUAUCAGCUUGUUGGUGGGGUAAUGGCCUACCAAGGCGACAACGGGUACCCGGCCUGAAAGGGCGACCGGCCACACUGGGACUGAGACACGGCCCAAACUCCUACGGGAGGCCCAGUGGGGAAUAUUGCACAAUGGGCGAAACCUCAUGCACCACACCGGUUGAGGGAUAACGGCCUUCGGGUUGUACACCUCUUUCAGCAGGGAACAACGAUAUUGACGUACUUGCAGAAAAAGCGCGGCUAAUUACUUCCCAGCACCCGCGGUGAUACUUAGGCGCAACCGUUGUCGGGAAUUAUUGGCCUUUAAAAACUCU
rnacentral:rRNA from 1 species